GGGAAUAUUGCACAAUGGGCGAAAGCCUGAUGCAGCCAUGCCGCGUGUAUGAAGAAGGCCUUCGGGUUGUAAAGUACUUUCAGUUGUGAGGAAGGGUGUGUAGUUAAUAGCUGCACAUCUUGACGUUAGCAACAGAAGAAGCACCGGCUAACUCCGUGCCAGCAGCCGCGGUAAUACGGAGGGUGCGAGCGUUAAUCGGAAUUACUGGGCGUAAAGCGCAUGCAGGUGGUUCAUUAAGUCAGAUGUGAAAGCCCGGGGCUCAACCUCGGAACUGCAUUUGAAACUGGUGAACUAGAGURCUGUAGAGGGGGGUAGAAUUUCAGGUGUAGCGGUGAAAUGCGUAGAGAUCUGAAGGAAUACCAGUGGCGAAGGCGGCCCCCUGGACAGAUACUGACACUCAGAUGCGAAAGCGUGGGGAGCAAACAGGAUUAGAUACCCUGGUAGUCCACGCCGUAAACGAUGUCUACUUGGAGGUUGUGGCCUUGAGCCGUGGCUUUCGGAGCUAACGCGUUAAGUAGACCGCCUGGGGAGUACGGUCGCAAGAUUAAAACUCAAAUGAAUUGACGGGGGCCCGCACAAGCGGUGGAGCAUGUGGUUUAAU
rnacentral:rRNA from 1 species